AGCGAACGCUGGCGGCGGGCCUAACACAUGCAAGUCGAACGGAUCCUUCGGGAUUAGUGGCGGACGGGUGAGUAACACGUGGGAACGUGCCCUUUGGUUCGGAACUACUCAGGGAAACUUGAGCUAAUACCGGAUGUGCCCUUCGGGGGAAAGAUUUAUCGCCAUUGGAGCGGCCCGCGUCUGAUUAGCUAGUUGGUGAGGUAACGGCCCACCAAGGCGACGAUCAGUAGCUGGUCUGAGAGGAUGAUCAGCCACACUGGGACUGAGACACGGCCCAGACUCCUACGGGAAGCGGCAGUGGGGAAUCUUGCGCAAUGGGCGAAAGCCUGACGCAGCCAUGCCGCGUGAAUGAUGAAGGUCUUAGGAUUGUAAAAUUCUUUCAGCGGGGACGAUAAUGACGGUACCCGCAGAAGAAGCGCCGGCUAACUUCGUG
rnacentral:rRNA from 1 species